GACGAACGCUGGCGGCGUGCUUAGCACAUGCAAGUCGAACGGAAAGGCCCUGCUUUUGUGGGGUGCUCGAGUGGCGAACGGGUGAGUAACACGUGAGUAACCUGCCCUUGACUUUGGGAUAACUUCAGGAAACUGGGGCUAAUACCGGAUAGGAGCUCCUGCUGCAUGGUGGGGGUUGGAAAGUUUCGGCGGUUGGGGAUGGACUCGCGGCUUAUCAGCUUGUUGGUGGGGUAGUGGCUUACCAAGGCUUUGACGGGUAGCCGGCCUGAGAGGGUGACCGGCCACAUUGGGACUGAGAUACGGCCCAGACUCCUACGGGAGGCAGCAGUGGGGAAUAUUGCACAAUGGGCGGAAGCCUGAUGCAGCAACGCCGCGUGCGGGAUGACGGCCUUCGGGUUGUAAACCGCUUUCGCCUGUGACGAAGCGUGAGUGACGGUAAUGGGUAAAGAAGCACUGGCUAACUACGUG
rnacentral:rRNA from 1 species